rnacentral:rRNA from 1 species
UAUGUGAUCGUCUCUCGCAUAUCAAUAAGCGGAGGAAAAGAAACUAACAAGGAUUACCCUAGUAACAGGCGAGUGAAGCGGGAAGAGCUCAAAUUUGAAAUCUUAAAGGGUUUCCCUUUACGAAUUGUAGUUUAAAGAAGUGUUUUCUGUUGAGGUUUUGGUAAAAGUUCUUUGGAAUAGGACAUCAUAGAGGGUGAGAAUCCCGUAUUUGACCUUUACUUUCAACUUUGUGAUACACUUUCAAAGAGUCGGAUUGUUUGGGAAUGCAGUCCAAAAUGGGUGGUAAAUUUCAUCUAAAGCUAAAUAUUGGCGAGAGACCGAUAGCGAACAAGUACCGUGAGGGAAAGAUGAAAAGAACUUUGAAAAGAGAGUUAAACAGUACGUGAAAUUGUCAAAAGGGAAGCGUUUGACACCAGUGUUGUUUUUCUGAAAAUCAAUUAAAGAACUGUUUAUGCUAAGUUGUUUAGACUUUAUCAGCUAUCUGUUUAGUUUUGAGCUUUUCUUUAAUGCACUUUUCAGUUAACAAGUCAACAUCAAUUUCUUUUGCUGUAAAAAAGCUUGAGGAAGGUGGCUUGAGAUUCGUCUUAAGUGUUUAUAGCCUCUUGCCUAUGCAGUCGGAGAGAUUGAGGUCUGCAGCGUAGAUCCUUCGGGGCUAAAUGCAUUUGUGCUAAGUUAUAGCAUUUUAUAGACAACUUGUUGACUAUGAUUUGUCUUGUAGCUUACUCGCUUAUGUUAUUUUACCUACGCUUAGGAUGUUGAUCUACAGAGCGAGAGU